CCCGCUGAACUUAAGCAUAUUAUUAAGCGGAGGAAAAGAAACUAACAAGGAUGCCCUCAGUAACGGCGAGUGAAGCGGGCAAAGCUCAACCUGAAAAUCGAUCAUCCAAACGGGUGUAUCGAAUUGUGGGCUAGAGAUUCGUGAUCAGUGUGUGACCUGGGUAUAAAUCUUUUGAAACAAGGUAUCAUAGAGGGUGAGAAUCCCGUCUUUGACCCAGAGUUUAAUUAAUCGCCACGUACGAUCCGUUAUCAGAGAGUCGAGUUGUUUGGGAUUGCAGCUCUAAAUGGGUGGUAAAUUUCAUCUAAAGCUAAAUAUCGACGAGAGACCGAUAGCGAACAAGUACCGUGAGGGAAAGAUGAAAAGAACUUUGAAAAGAGAGUUAAAAAGUACUUGAAAUUGCUAAGAGGGAAGCACUGGAAACCAGUCCUUUGAUGAACUCAUUAUAUUUUUAGUAUUUGCUCCCGGAUGUUCCUUAUGAGCUAGUGUGUCAAAGCCUACUUAUGGGGAAUAUGAUGGUGUGAAUGCGUCCUGUAUAAUGUAGCUUUCAAUCAGAAUCAAUUUCAGGUUCAUAGGAGAAAGCUAUGGUAACGGUAGUUCUAUAAGGGGCAACUCUUAUGGAAUGUUUAGUACUGUAGUGCUACUAUGGAAGAGAUUGAGGUACAAUCGUAAUGCGCACCACUAGGUUUUCCAUUCUUUAUUCCCUAACGUUUUUAGAUUGCGUGAACAACAAAGUUGUCCUGUAGUCUAAGGAUGUUACUGGUUUAGAUGAUAUGAGAAGCAGCAUUCGAGAUUCUGAUGAAAUGGUUUUCAUUGACCCGUCUUGAAACACGG
rnacentral:rRNA from 1 species